rnacentral:rRNA from 1 species
UGCAGUCGAACGAUGAAGCCCAGCUUGCUGGGUGGAUUAGUGGCGAACGGGUGAGUAACACGUGAGUAACCUGCCCUUAACUCUGGGAUAAGCCUGGGAAACUGGGUCUAAUACCGGAUAGGAGCGCCUACCGCAUGGUGGGUGUUGGAAAGAUUUAUCGGUUUUGGAUGGACUCGCGGCCUAUCAGCUUGUUGGUGAGGUAAUGGCUCACCAAGGCGACGACGGGUAGCCGGCCUGAGAGGGUGACCGGCCACACUGGGACUGAGACACGGCCCAGACUCCUACGGGAGGCAGCAGUGGGGAAUAUUGCACAAUGGGCGCAAGCCUGAUGCAGCGACGCCGCGUGAGGGAUGACGGCCUUCGGGUUGUAAACCUCUUUCAGUAGGGAAGAAGCGAAAGUGACGGUACCUGCAGAAGAAGCACCGGCUAACUACGUGCCAGCAGCCGCGGUAAUACGUAGGGUGCGAGCGUUAUCCGGAAUUAUUGGGCGUAAAGAGCUCGUAGGCGGUUUGUCGCGUCUGUCGUGAAAGUCCGGGGCUUAACCCCGGAUCUGCGGUGGGUACGGGCAGACUAGAGUGCAGUAGGGGAGACUGGAAUUCCUGGUGUAGCGGUGGAAUGCGCAGAUAUCAGGAGGAACACCGAUGGCGAAGGCAGGUCUCUGGGCUGUAACUGACGCUGAGGAGCGAAAGCAUGGGGAGCGAACAGGAUUAGAUACCCUGGUAGUCCAUGCCGUAAACGUUGGGCACUAUGUGUGGGGACCAUUCCACGGUUUCCGCGCCGCAGCUAACGCAUUAAGUGCCCCGCCUGGGGAGUACGGCCGCAAGGCUAAAACUCAAAGGAAUUGACGGGGGCCCGC